rnacentral:rRNA from 1 species
UGGCCUUGACAUUGAUUGAAUCUGGCAGAGAUGCCGGAGUGCCUUUCGGGGAGCAUGAAAACAGGUGCUGCACGGCUGUCGUCAGCUCGUGUCGUGAGAUGUUGGGUUAAGUCCCGCAACGAGCGCAACCCUCGUCGUUAGUUGCUAACAGGUUAAGCUGAGCACUCUAACGAGACUGCCUUCGCAAGGAGGAGGAAGGUGAGGACGACGUCAAGUCAUCAUGGCCCUUACGGCCAGGGCUACACACGUGCUACAAUGGGGCGUACAGAGAGUUGCGAUACCGCGAGGUGGAGCCAAUCUCAUAAAGCGUCUCUCAGUUCGGAUUGUUCUCUGCAACUCGAGAACAUGAAGCUGGAAUCACUAGUAAUCGUAGAUCAGCAACGCUACGGUGAAUACGUUCCCGGGUCU